UGGACUUGCCAAGCCUCCAUAAUCACAGAAACCAAUUCCUUAAAAGUUGCAGUAAAAGAGGAACCCAAGUGCAUAACAAGAUCAAAGAAAUCAUUCCCUACAUCCCAGUAGUGAUGAACAGACAUGUGACAAGAGGCCAUGUGAGGACACAGCAAGAUGGAGACCAUCAACAAGCCAGG